UGGAAAUGAUCCUCUGAGAUUCCUGAACCAACGAGGAGAGCACAUACACAGUGAUGUAUUUGGAUUGUACUCGCUGUAUGUCACUGAUGUAAAUAGAGUCUUUAUUUCCCAGGACGAGGUGAAUGGAAGAGUGGACGUCACUCAUCAGACAACAUCAGCAAAUAAAUCAAACACACUGGAAGUGGAAAUGUUUGCAGGAGUCAGCACAGGUGCUUGUGUGUUAGUGUGAGUUUGUGUUGUGUGCUGUGAUGUGCUGAGGGACGUAUAAAUGGACAUACUGCUAGUGACGCUGUGAAAGAGGCCGUCAAAACAUCUCAGAGGAGAAAAUGCAUACAUGGCAAGUUCAGUUAAAUGCUUUGAAUUCAUACAGUGACUCUCUAGUGUUCAGUGUUAAACAAUAAAAAAAUAAAUAAAGAAUGAUGAUUGAACUGGAACUCCAGUUUGAUCCAUACAGCCAGUCUAAAUUCAUUUUUGUUGUAAUCAACAUUAUGCUGCAAAUGCUAUCAAUUGAGCUUACUUAAUUAUAUCGAACCUGGAAUAUUCCUUUAAAGGAAUAGUUCACGCAACCAUGAAAAUUCUAACAUUAUUUAGUUGUUUUUGUUGCCCCAAAUCCAUAUGCUGCUGGAGAAAUUUAAGUUAAUUUCUAUAAAGUUACAGUUCAUAAUGACCAUAACUCUCAAGCUUAAAAAAACAAUAA